CUUUUGUAGUGUGUAGAGCCGAUGUUGAGCCGUGCUUUUGCCCUCGAAAACAAAAUUUCUGUGGCACCGUGAGAGGGCACGAGUUCGGUGGAGCAUGAUAAAUGAAUAUUGACAAGCACGGCCGUUUCAUAAUGAUGAUUUGGCUACGCUGCGUUUAGGUCAGUCACAACGAUCCAUUCCACGAAAUAUGGAGCGAAAUACAACGCAAAGAUCAUGCUGACAACAUGAUGGUGUUAUGUGGCAACGCGCAGAUUUUACCGUCGGAAAACCACAUAUCGAAAGGCACACAGAAGAGGAGGGAAUCUGGUCUACAGAUAAAACGUCACGAUCGGUAGCUGGUGAAAUCCCGUGGUCUUUCUUUAAAACCCUUGGAGCGAGAGUGACUAGAUAUCAGAUUUAUCGCCCGAUUGAAAAGAAUCCACCGUGUCCAUCUGGUUUGUUCCUUGUGCUGUCAGGAGAUGAGGCGGGUGCUUAAUCAUGGCAGAAAGUUGCGAGUAUUGUUACUUCUCAUAGCAUUAUGUUCUGUGUUCCUAAUAACGUACCAAGGAGACGUUGUAUGGUUUUCCGAUCGUGGUGAGUAUAUACCGGUAUACUGCGCGUGCGCAACUGCAAAUCUCAAGUAACAAUUAAAUCUGCUCUAUUUUGCUGAAGUAUGAAGUGUAAUACUAAGUUGAAAAAUGAUUGGAAAU